ACACCAAACAUAAACAAAAAGAAAUAAUAAACUCAUUAUUUUCAUCAAUUUUACAAAGUAAACAAUUUGUUUGCAUUUGCGCGAGCAUAUUCACACAGUGUUGUCUUGCGAGUGCAGUGCACGUUUUUGAAUUCCAACGGUCGAGAAGAGAUUGAUCCCCGUCUGCUGAUUUAAAUUGAUGGUCUGAUGGAAAUAUUGUUGUGCGGAUUUACACUAAAACACGAAAGAGCCUGAACCGCGACAGUCUCACAAGUUGCCUUACAUCGGAAUCAGUAAAGCCAACUCCGACUAUAGUUUUUCAUGAAGCUUCAAACCCCCUCCAUGCAAAAAGAGGCAACAUCAAUAUGGAGGGUGUCAACAUUGUGAGCGCAGAAAUGGAUGUGAUGGAGGCAAU